rnacentral:rRNA from 1 species
UACAGAGGUCUCAAGCGUUGUUCGGAAUCACUGGGCGUAAAGGGUGCGUAGGCUGCGGAGUAAGUCGGAUGUGAAAUUUGGGGGCUCAACCCCCAACUUGCAUCUGAUACUGCUUCGCUAGAGACCUGGAGAGGAGUUUGGAAUUCUCGGUGUAGCAGUGAAAUGCGUAGAUUUCGAGAAGAACGCUCGCAGCGAAAGCGAAACUCUGGACAGCGUCUGACGCUGAGGCACGAAGGCUAGGGGAGCAAACGGG